rnacentral:lncRNA from 1 species
CCCACAAGAUAACUCUAACAUAUAUGUCCCUACAGCCUCUACCUGGAUGGACUCUCCUCCAGCAUCGUAGAGCUCGAAGUCACCUUUUUUCAGCACUCUAAUAUUCUGCAACCGAUGCAAUGACUUGCUUAUAUGAGAACCGCAGGCGGUAUCCAAUACCUAAGAGUCUGAAUUGAAAGAGCUUAAUGACAGAAUUGUAUGUAUCUCAUAUAUAUCUUUUGGUGCGUCGCUUGCACCAGCCUUUACAGUUGCAAGAUAUAACUUGUAAUUCUUUUUUCAGCGUCCUGUCUUGCUGCAGUGAAAGCAAGUACCCUGUCC